rnacentral:rRNA from 1 species
CAGUCGCCGCGGGAAUACGGAGGGUGCAAGCGUUAUCCGGAUUUAUUGGGUUUAAAGGGUCCGUAGGCGGACUUAUAAGUCAGUGGUGAAAGCCUGUCGCUUAACGAUAGAACUGCCAUUGAUACUGUAAGUCUUGAGUAUAUUUGAGGUAGCUGGAAUAAGUAGUGUAGCGGUGAAAUGCAUAGAUAUUACUUAGAACACCAAUUGCGAAGGCAGGUUACCAAGAUAUAACUGACGCUGAGGGACGAAAGCGUGGGUAGCGAACAGGAUUAGAUACCCCAGUAGUCCCUGUCUCUUAUAC